CCCGAAAAUCUUUUUUUUUUUUAUUUUUUUUUAGCCAUUACCCGAAAAUCUCAAAUGUGAGUUUUUAAAAAUAAAAAAAAUAAAAAAAAAACAGAAAAUUAAUGAAACAAAAAAGUGAAAAACCCUAAUCUUCGUUCUUUUCUCAUUUCUUAGUCAUUGACUCAGCCUCCAUCCCCCUCUCUCUCUUCCUCUUCUCUAAUCUCUGGUUUUCUGAUCUCCAUUCUCCAAGUCUGUUCUUUGCCAAUGGUUAGCCGGUUACCUUAGAUCGUUGAUUCAGUUUAGGGUUCUUCGAACUUUGGGGCCUUUUCACGUUUACGCUGCGUCGCUUAACCCCUUCAUCUCCUCCAUUGAAGCGUACUUCGACUUCUCCUUUGAAGCGGUUUAUGAGGUUUCACUCCUCCAUCGAAGCAACUCUGAAGGAGUGUAUGGAAUCUGGUAGUGGGGAUAUGGAAGACUCAUCGGCUACAAGUCAAGCUCCUCCAAUUCCAAGUCCUCCUCCCAAGCCUUAGGAGUAUGACCCUUGUUCAAUGACGGAAAAUAAUGACCCCUUUGAGCAGCAAAAUCAAUCAAACCAACCUUCUGAAGUUGCUGAUGCUGCUACCCCCUUAAGUGAAACUUCAAAAAAAAACUAGAAAAAGGCGCUCUUCUCAUUGGGAGCAUUUUAUAAAGAAGGAUGGAGAAAACAAGGCUCAAUGUAUUUAUUGUCAUACAUUAAUUGGCUGUGCAUCACUUCAAGGUACCUCCGGCAUGAAGAACCACAUAAAGCGGUGUAAGGAAUACCCCCCAAACAUUGAUCAAAAUCAGCAACUAUUGUCCCUUAGUCAACAAACUCUUGAUGGGAAUCUUGUGGAUAAAAAAAGGUAGACUUGAGUUGUGGAAAUUCAAUCAAGAAGAUAGUAGGAAAGCUUUGGCAAAGAUGGUGAUUAUGGAUGAAAUGUCUUUUCCAAUGGUGGAGCAUGAAGGUUUUCGCAACUUUAUGAAGAAAUGUUACCUCUUGGUAAGGAACAAUCCCUCUUUGUUGAUGAUGAUUAGAGGCAGCAACUGUUAUAAGUAUGAAGGUUGGUGGUGAUUGAACUAUUGAAGGCUGAAGUCAUUGAAGGCUUGGAAUUAUUUUCUGAAUUAUGAUACUGUGGACAUUUUUUUUUUUAAAACUAUGGACUUUUUUUUUGUUAUGUAUCAGUUUAUUAUUUUUAAAACUAUGGACGUUUUUUUUUUAAGAAACUGUGUUUGUAUCAGGUAUUAGUUCAUUUGUAAUUAGGUUGAUGUGGUGGGUUAUUUGUGUAUUCAGGUUCAAUAUCAA